GAUGAACGCUGGCGGCGUGCCUAAUACAUGCAAGUCGAGCGAACAGACGAGGAGCUUGCUCCUCUGACGUUAGCGGCGGACGGGUGAGUAACACGUGGAUAACCUACCUAUAAGACUGGGAUAACUUCGGGAAACCGGAGCUAAUACCGGAUAAUAUAUUGAACCGCAUGGUUCAAUAGUGAAAGACGGUUUUGCUGUCACUUAUAGAUGGAUCCGCGCCGCAUUAGCUAGUUGGUAAGGUAACGGCUUACCAAGGCAACGAUGCGUAGCCGACCUGAGAGGGUGAUCGGCCACACUGGAAGUGAGACACGGUCCAGACUCCUACGGGAGGCAGCAGUAGGGAAUCUUACGCAAUGGGCGAAAGCCUGACGGAGCAAAGCCGCGUGAGUGAUGAAGGUCUUCGGAUCGUAAAACUCUGUUAUUAGGGAAGAACAAAAGUGUAAGUAACUAUGCACGUCUUGACGGUACCUAAUCAGAAAGCCACGGCUAACUACGUG
rnacentral:rRNA from 1 species